rnacentral:lncRNA from 1 species
CAGGGACCUGCCCAACAAUACGCCACAUUCUGUCUAGCAAAGCCACACAGCCAGAAAACGCCAGGUGACUGGCAGGCAGAUACUUCCGGAAGAAGUCGGCCCUCCGAACCCGGAAGUGAAGCGAUAAGACGCACGGUGUUCUGGGAGGAGUUACGGAGGCAGGGUUGUGGUUGCUGGCUGUUACCAGGACAACCGGAGGCGAUUGACCGUUAUCUGCGGUUUGGAGCCGUUAGCGGGAGAGGCAGAGAUAUUCAGAGGUCUUUUAGGAUGCGCUAAAGGGUCGUGAGGGCUCUCUUAAAAUUUUCUUCACAAGCGGUUAUCCAGUCGUGCCCCGCGGCCCUGCCGCUGGCCCCGGGGAUCUGAGUCGUACCCUCUUGUUUUUCUCUGAGUCAGUCUUAAGGUGAAAUGAAGUGUGGCCCAGUGGCUCCUCACUGUCGCUUCCCUAGUUUUCUGCCUCCUUUUAGAAAAUUGAAUUGAAAAGACAGGAUGAAGUGGACACAGCAUGUGAAGACAAUUCUUUCAAGAAGUUUGGCUGUCAAGGAAAAUAGAGAAUGUGCUAAAGAACAUGCAGACACAGAGCAGACAGGCCACCUUUGCAACCACAUGGAGGUUUGUCUGAUAUUGAAGCUAAAGAAGCUAAGCUGGAAGACAGAGAGAGCAAGUCCUGAUGACAUUGUUUGAACCCAGAGAUCCAGACAUGCCUGAAAACUAGUUUUACCACUGGACUUAUCCGUUGAAUGAGCC